ACCGCUUCUCGGCCUUGUGGCUAAGACCAGUGGUAGUGUCUGUACUUGUCAGUUUAAUAGCUGACACGCCCUCUAUCGGAGGACGACAUAUUAAGUGGAUUUUUGGAGCCGGGCGGUGGACCGGGAGCGCGCUCCGUCCACUCCGCGCACCGACCCGGUAUUGCAGUACUUCCGGGAGCAGUGCACCCCAG
ensembl:snRNA U2 U2 spliceosomal RNA